rnacentral:rRNA from 1 species
UGGGUUUUAUGCUUGGAUACUUAUAGCAUUAUGGAAACACUUCGAUCCAUUCCGAACUCGAUUGUGAAACAUUUUAGCGGCGAAAAUACUAAAGAAGCAGUUCUUUGGAAAAAUAGCUCAGUAUCUAAGC